rnacentral:RNase_P_RNA from 1 species
GUUGGUUAUUGGGUGAUUGCUCUUUGAUUUUUAUUAAAGAGAGGAAAGUCCGAACUUUCUCCCUUUAAUUAGGGAAAAAGGGUAGCGGGUAACUCCCGUCUGCCGUAAGGCAAGAGGUGCGAACAGAGACGCUGUAUGACGAAAGAAAUACAGAUACCUUAAUUUAUAUUAAGGUAGAGCCUCUUAUGUAAAUAAGAGGGUGAAACGGCUAAAUCCUUACCUGAAAGCAAGGCCGUGCCCAGCACCAUUUUUACGGAACAAGUACUCAGUUAUUAGUGAAUUAAAGAUAUAUUGAGUAUUUAAAUAAUUGUUUUGUAAAAAUGGUGCUGGGAGAGCCGCUUGAACUUUUUGGCAACAAAAAGUCCAGAUAGAUAAUCACCGCCUUUUGUAAAAAAGGUACAGAAUUCGGCUUAUAGAUAACCGACCUUU